rnacentral:lncRNA from 1 species
UAUCAAAUUAUAUCAUAUCUAAAUUAUAAAUUGAGUUCAAAACUCCAUACCUGAGUACGGAUAGCAGAUCAUGACAUCCCAAAUCCAUGGUAGUUGGUUCUUCAUGAUGCUCAGCAGCCUCACAUAUGUCUAACCUCUAUGGAUAUCCACGCGAAGUCCUUGUACUGAUCGAUCUUUUCGAGAAUGCUAGCUCGUGAAGAUACCAUACUGUUGGC